CAAAGGCCAGAAACUCUGGCAGAAAUUUCACCAAAUGAUGCGCUUGGUGCACUCUUCGGUCCCGAACACCCUGGUCGUGUUCGAGGCUUAGGCAUGGGUGCAGUUCCAACUGUAGUAUUCAAGCAAACAUCACGCCGAGGUGGUUGUUCUUAUAUGGGCUCAUCUAGCGCUGGUGCUCCACCUCACAAUUGGUGCAAGAGAUGGCAAAUAUGAGAUCACAAUUAAAUGCGGUAACUAGCUUAUUUCAAAUGACAAUUGGAAAUAUCCCGAGCAGUUUGCUCACUUAUUUCCGAAUCCUCCACAGGCACCCAAUUUAGGAGAUAGCGUCCCGUCACCAACUAGGUCAAGAAGAUCCUUUGAUGAAAGCGGAGCAAAUGACAAUUAGUAAUCAUUGUUAGGAUGAACUAUAUUUUUCUUGGAUUGUAAUUGUUAGGAUGAACUAUGUUUUUUGUGUGUUGUAAUUGGUGAAUAACUCUCACCAACUUAAACUUGAAUCUUGGAUGAUAUGGGAUUUUGGGUACCUAUGUUUUAAUAUGAUGAAUAUUUUGCUUA